CAUACUUCACAAUUCAAAUUCAAGAAACCCUUUCUCUCUUCUCUUUCACGCUUUCUAUCCCCAAAUUUUCUCAAACCCUAAUCUUCCGCCGCCCUCUUUCAUAUCCUCAACCCCUAAAUCUACCGUCGCCCUCUUUCCCACUCACAACAACAUAACUUUUCUUUUCUCCUUCUUCAUGUUUUGUACUUCCUCUCCCUCCCAACAACUUUGUCUCUGUAUCGAUCUCACUAUUCAUCAAUGGGAAUACACUUGAGAAGGUAUGUUGAAUCUAUUUCAGUUCAAACAUCCAAACUCAUUCCUCUCUCUUGUCAUGUUCAAAAUUUAUUUCCUACGGGACACAAAAAGGUCACUUUUCGCGUUUAGUUAAUUAUAGAGUAUUCAGACUCUUUUAUAACAAAUGCGAAUGGAUGAAAUAAGGAUUUUAGGUUGCAACACUUUGUUCGCACGUGUAUCAAAACUAAUUGUCGUAGUCCAUAUUUAAAGAAGAAGGAACCUUCUGCAAGCUAUUAUUAUGUGUACUAACCAGAGUGGAAAAAUAUAUGAAAGUGAGAGUUAUGGGAAAAGAAGAGAGAAGCUUCAAGAAAUAGUGCACCUACUUAAAAACUCUCGCUUUCAUGUGAAUAACUUUUAAUUUUCAUUGCUAUUUGAGGUAUUCCUUAAUGGGAAGGUAGUAUACCUUUUUCUUUGUUUGAGUUGAUCUAUUAUGUCAUUUUUCCUAAUAUGAUUUCUCGAUGUUCACAGUAUUAUACAUUGCAAAGGAGAGUGCCAGUAUUAUGCAUUGUUGGUUUUCAGGCGAUGAAGCAAUAUUACAUAUUGUUGGUUUUCAGGCGAUGAAGCAAUCAUUACAAAGGAGAGUGCCAAUAACCAUUAUCCUACAAACAAUACCAAAACAUUAAUGUAAUAUUGCUCCUUGGUGCCGAUGACCAAUAAACAACCUACAACCAUCCCUAGAUGCAAAAUUUGCAGUCUUGAUCUUCACUGAUUUUUAUUGUUAGGUUUCUGUGAUUGACCAGAUUCUAAAGAUGUAUGUAUGUGUGUACUUGAGACAAACAUUAAUUUGGAAAUCUAAAAAUUGCAAGAAAAUUGGUUCAUCAGCAGCAUGAUGCAUGUUUAAAGAUGGAGAAGGUUCUUGAAGUCAAUUGAGUGAGAAAGACAGAAAAAAGGUUGAAGAUAAUAAAUGUAUAUUUGUAGAGUUUAUUGUUAGAUAUGGUGUACAUGCGAGAUUUAGGGCCUGUUUGAAAGGCUUUUUAAAAACUCUAUUUUAGUUUUUGAAAAUUUAAAAACUAAAAACUUGUUUGAAUAUAAUAUUUUACAAAUGUGUUUUUAAAAACUCUUCACAAUUUUUCAGUUUUUAAAAGCAAAAAACUGAAAU